rnacentral:ncRNA from 1 species
CGAUUUGGUCACCCGAAAAGGCGUUAAAAGGGAAUCAGGUGCAAGUCCUGAACAGUCCCGCUGCUGUAAGUUCAACACACUGCCAAUCAAAUAAAUAGUCACUGCAUAUCGCCAUAGAUAUGUGGGAAGGCUGAGAGGCAGAGAACAAGUCAGAAGACCUGCCAAAUCUGAA